GUUGUUAAACUGCAAUCAAAAGCACUUAGUAGGAAUGGAUCUGUACCUAUUAUGAGAUUUGAACUCCCGACAUCUUAAUCCACUGGAACUUGAGUGCCCAGGACACACCAGAGAGGGGAUUUUGAGAUUGCUUUUCAAGCACUGUGGCUGUGAGCCAGUUACAGCAUGAGGAAAAGCCCUCCAACACCCCAAUGUACAGGAAAGAGAAGACAGAUGACAGUAGCUGUCCUCCUUCAAUACUGAGGAAAAGGCCACCUGUGGACCAGGCUGUGGGGGAAAAGCGGAAAGCAGAGAGGAGGGUUCGAUUUCGUGAACCAGAAGAAGUCAUUGAACAUGUUAUUUCCUGCUGUGACUACGUAGUGGUGCAUGACAGGUCAUCACCUGGAUUGCCUGUGCUCCUGGGGCUCUUCUUUUGUGUGGUGCUGAUCCUGGCUGUGAGUCUCUACUACACCAGCAUGAAGCAAGAUACCAAAGUCCUGGAGGAGUUUCAAUCCCAACUUGUCAUCUUCUUUCUUCAGAUAAGACGCAUUGCUCACAAAUGCUGGACUUGGUUUACAAGGUAG
rnacentral:lncRNA from 1 species